GCGGAGGAAAAGAAACCAACAGGGAUUGCCCUAGUAACGGCGAGUGAAGCGGCAACAGCUCAAAUUUGAAAUCUGGCGUCUUUGGCGUCCGAGUUGUAAUUUGCAGAGGGCGCUUUGGCGUUGGCAGCGGUCCAAGUUCCUUGGAACAGGACGUCACAGAGGGUGAGAAUCCCGUACGUGGUCGCUGGCCUUCGCCGUGUAAAGCCCCUUCGACGAGUCGAGUUGUUUGGGAAUGCAGCUCUAAAUGGGAGGUAAAUUUCUUCUAAAGCUAAAUACUGGCCAGAGACCGAUAGCGCACAAGUAGAGUGAUCGAAAGAUGAAAAGCACUUUGGAAAGAGAGUCAAACAGCACGUGAAAUUGUUAAAAGGGAAGCGCUUGCAGCCAGACUUGCCUGUAGUUGCUCAUCCGGACUUUUGUCCGGUGCACUCUUCUAUAGGCAGGCCAGCAUCAGUUUGGGCGGUUGGAUAAAGGUCUCUGUCAUGUACCUCUCUUCGGGGAGAACUUAUAGGGGAGACGACAUGCAACCAGCCUGGACUGAGGUCCGCGCAUUUGCUAGGAUGCUGGCGUAAUGGCUGUAAGCGGCCCGUCUUGAAACACGGACCAAGGAGUCUAACAUCUAUGCGAGUGUUUGGGUGUCAAGCCCGAACGCGUAAUGAAAGUGAACGGAGGUGGGAACCUUUCGGGGUGCACCAUCGACCGAUCCUGAUGUCUUCGGAUGGAUUUGAGUAAGAGCAUAGCUGUUGGGACCCGAAAGAUGGUGAACUAUGCUUGAAUAGGGUGAAGCCAGAGGAAACUCUGGUGGAGGCUCGCAGCGGUUCUGACGUGCAAAUCGAUCGUCAAAUUUGGGCAUAGGGGCGAAAGACUAAUCGAACUAUCUAGUAGCUGGUUCU
rnacentral:sRNA from 1 species